ensembl:snoRNA
AAGCUACACUCUGUGUCAGUAGUCCUCUGGGAUGAUGAUUUGACUCAAUUUGAGCUUUGCUACAUCAAAUCCAGUUUGUCUCAUAAGACAUUGUCUCUUUGGUGAGAUUAAUGCUGGAGACACUGGGACACA